GUUGACCUCGGAUCAGGUAGGGAUACCCGCUGAACUUAAGCAUAUCAAUAAGCGGAGGAAGA
rnacentral:rRNA from 1 species